ACGAAGGGGGCUAGCGUUGUUCGGAAUCACUGGGCGUAAAGGGCGCGUAGGCGGUCAGCACAAGUCAGUUGUGAAAUCUCCGGGCUUAACUCGGAAAGGUCAACUGAUACUGUGCGACUAGAGUGCGGAAGGGGCAACUGGAAUUCUCGGUGUAGCGGUGAAAUGCGUAGAGAUCCGGAAGAACACCGGUGGCGAAGGCGGCCCGCUGGGCAGGAAGACACCGCAAGGUGUCGGCUGACGCUGAGGCGCGACAGCGUGGGGAGCAAACAGGA
rnacentral:rRNA from 1 species